UACGUAGGGUCCGAGCGUUGUCCGGAAUUAUUGGGCGUAAAGGGCUCGUAGGCGGUUCGUCACGUCGGGAGUGAAAACUCGGGGCUUAACCCCGAGCCUGCUUCCGAUACGGGCAGACUAGAGGUAGGCAGGGGAGAGCGGAACUCCUGGUGUAGCGGUGGAAUGCGCAGAUAUCAGGAGGAACACCGGUGGCGAAGGCGGCUAUCUGGACAGAGUCUGACGCUGAGGCGCGAAAGCUAGGGGAGCAAACAGG
rnacentral:rRNA from 1 species